rnacentral:rRNA from 1 species
GCCAUCGGCCAUACCACGUUGAGUACGCCGGUUCUCGUCCAAUCACCGAAGUUAAACAACGUUGGGCCCGGGUAGUACUUUGAAGGGAGACCGCCUGGAAAACUGGGCGUUGAUGGCA